rnacentral:tRNA from 1 species
GAUAGCGUGGCCGAGGCGGUCUAAAGGCGCUGGAUUUAGGCUCCAGUCUCUUCGAGGCGUGGGUUCGAAUCCCACCUCUGUCA